rnacentral:rRNA from 1 species
GACGAACGCUGGCGGUGUGCUUAACACAUGCAAGUCGAACGGUAAGGCCCUUUCGGGGGUACACGAGUGGCGAACGGGUGCGUAACACGUGAGUAACCUGCCCUCAUCUCUGGGAUAACAGUCGGAAACGGUUGCUAAUACUGGAUAUGAGCUUGCUAUGCAUCUUGUUGGUUCGAAAGAUUUUUUUUGGUUGGGGAUGGACUCGCGGCCUAUCAGCUUGUUGGUGAGGUAGUGGCGCACCAAGGCUUCGACGGGUAGCCGGCCUGUGAGGGCGACCGGCCACAUUGGGACUGAGAUACGGCCCAAACUCGUACGGGAGGCAGCAGUGGGGAAUAUUGCACGAUGGACGGAAGUCUGAUGCAGCAACGCCGCGUGCGGGAUGACGGCCUUCGGGUUGUAAACCGCUUUCAAUUGUGACGAAGCUUUUUUGUGACGGUAGCAGUAGAAGAAGCACCGGCUAACUACGUG